rnacentral:rRNA from 1 species
AGGGCGCACGGUGGAUGCCUUGGCACUAGGAGCCGAUGAAGGACGGGACUAACACCGAUAUGCUUUGGGGAGCUGUACGUAAGCUAUGAUCCAGAGAUUUCCGAAUGGGGGAACCCAACAUCUUUAAUAGGAUGUUACGAUUGUGUGAAUACAUAGCACAUUCGAGGUAGACGCAGAGAACUGAAACAUCUAAGUACCUGCAGGAAGAGAAAGAAAAUUCGAUUCCCUGAGUAGCGGCGAGCGAAACGGGAAAAGCCCAAACCAACAAGCUUGCUUGUUGGGGUUGUAGGACUCCAAUAUGGUCGUUCUUUCAGAUAGUCGAAUGACUUGGAAAAGUCAGUCAAAGAGGGUAAAAACCCCGUAGACGAAAUGUGGAAGACACCUAGGAGGAUCCUGAGUACGGCGGAACACGAGAAAUUCCGUCGGAAUCCGGGAGGACCAUCUCCCAAGGCUAAAUACUCCCUAGUGACCGAUAGUGAACCAGUACCGUGAGGGAAAGGUGAAAAGCACCCCGGAAGGGGAGUGAAAUAGAACCUGAAACCGUGUGCCUACAACAAGUCAAAGCCCGUUAAUGGGUGAUGGCGUGCCUUUUGUAGAAUGAACCGGCGAGUUACGAUUGCAUGCGAGGUUAAGUUGAAGAGACGGAGCCGCAGCGAAAGCGAGUCUGAAUAGGGCGUUUGAGUAUGUAGUCGUAGACCCGAAACCAUGUGAUCUACCCAUGUCCAGGUUGAAGGUGCGGUAAAACGCACUGGAGGACCGAACCCACGUACGUUGAAAAGUGCGGGGAUGAGGUGUGGGUAGCGGAGAAAUUCCAAACGAACUUGGAGAUAGCUGGUUCUCUCCGAAAUAGCUUUAGGGCUAGCCUCGGAAUUGAGAAUGAUGGAGGUAGAGCACUGUUUGGACUAGGGGCCCAUCUCGGGUUACCGAAUUCAGAUAAACUCCGAAUGCCAUUCAUUCAUAUCCGGGAGUCAGACUGUGAGUGAUAAGAUCCAUAGUCGAAAGGGAAACAGCCCAGACCACCAGCUAAGGUCCCAAAAUAUAUGUUAAGUGGAAAAGGAUGUGGGGUUGCACAGACAACUAGGAUGUUGGCUUAGAAGCAGCCACCAUUUAAAGAGUGCGUAAUAGCUCACUAGUCGAGUGACCCUGCGCCGAAAAUGUACCGGGGCUAAACAUAUUACCGAAGCUGUGGAGUACACCUUUAGGUGUAUUGGUAGGAGAGCGUUCUAAGGGCGUUGAAGGCAGAUCGUGAGGACUGCUGGAGCGCUUAGAAGUGAGAAUGCCGGUAUGAGUAGCGAAAGACAGGUGAGAAUCCUGUCCACCGAAUGACUAAGGUUUCCUGGGGAAGGCUCGUCCGCCCAGGGUUAGUCGGGACCUAAGCCGAGGCCGACAGGCGUAGGCGAUGGAUAACAGGUUGAUAUUCCUGUACCCGUUGUUUUUGUUUGAGCAAUGGAGGGACGCAGGAGGCUAAGGAAUGCAGACGAUCGGAAAUGUCUGUCCAAGCAGUAAGUCUGAAGAGGAGUCAAAUGCUUCUUUUCUUAAGGACAAGCUGUGAUGGGGAGGGAAAUAAUAGUACCGAAGUUCCUGAUGUCACACUGCCGAGAAAAGCUUCUAGUGAGAAAACAGCGGCCCGUACCGCAAACCGACACAGGUAGUCGAGGAGAGAAUCCUAAGGUGAGCGAGAGAACUCUCGUUAAGGAACUCGGCAAAAUGACCCCGUAACUUCGGGAGAAGGGGUGCUGAUCAUACGAUCAGCCGCAGUGAAUAGGCCCAAGCGACUGUUUAUCAAAAACACAGGUCUCUGCAAAAUCGUAAGAUGAAGUAUAGGGGCUGACGCCUGCCCGGUGCUGGAAGGUUAAGAGGAGUGCUUAGCGCAAGCGAAGGUACGAAUUGAAGCCCCAGUAAACGGCGGCCGUAACUAUAACGGUCCUAAGGUAGCGAAAUUCCUUGUCGGGUAAGUUCCGACCCGCACGAAAGGCGUAACGAUUUGGGCACUGUCUCAACGAGAGACUCGGUGAAAUUUUAGUACCUGUGAAGAUGCAGGUUACCCGCGACAGGACGGAAAGACCCCAUGGAGCUUUACUGUAGUUUGAUAUUGAGUGUCUGUACCGCAUGUACAGGAUAGGUAGGAGCCGUAGAAAUCGGAACGCUAGUUUCGAUGGAGGCGCUGGUGGGAUACUACCCCUGCGUUAUGGCCACUCUAACCCGCACCACUAAUCGUGGUGGGAGACAGUGUCAGAUGGGCAGUUUGACUGGGGCGGUCGCCUCCUAAAAGGUAACGGAGGCGCCCAAAGGUUCCCUCAGAAUGGUUGGAAAUCAUUCGAAGAGUGUAAAGGCAGAAGGGAGCUUGACUGCGAGACCAACAAGUCGAGCAGGGACGAAAGUCGGGCUUAGUGAUCCGGUGGUUCCGCAUGGAAGGGCCAUCGCUCAACGGAUAAAAGCUACCCUGGGGAUAACAGGCUUAUCUCCCCCAAGAGUCCACAUCGACGGGGAGGUUUGGCACCUCGAUGUCGGCUCGUCGCAUCCUGGGGCUG